UCGUUUGCGGACUAGAAAAAUGGCGAACAGCCAUCAAAAUACUGAUUCAAAAUACACAUCUUUCACUGGACAAACAAAUGGGUGCGCGCAGCAAAAUUCAGCCCUAAUGGCGAAUGUAUGCGAACGUUCACCGGGGGAAGAGGUAUGGGACGACAGCUGGCAUGGCAUCCAGACGGCAAUCUGGUGGCUUUAGCAUUAAGUUGUAACCGCGUUAAGAUAUUUGACAAAGCUGAAGGCGAGCUAAUACAGUGCAUUCGUCGCCGGAGAAUGAUGUUGCAUUUCACCCAAGUGGAAAUUUCUUGGUGACUGGCGGCGAUGACGAUACAAUAAGAUUGCUUGAUUUAUUAGAAGGUCGACCAAUUUAUACACGUUGCUCGUUUGGAAAUCUAAUUUGCAUACAUUUGAUGCCAAUAGCUCGCAACAAACAAGCCAGUUCUCAAAGAGCCCAAAUUGAUUUUAGUCAUGCAACAGCUCCACAUAACUCCGCCAUAGACACACCAGUUGCUGGAGUACCAAAAAGCUGUGAUGACAGUAUUUUAAUUGAUCCACGACAAUCGGUGGCAUAUGGAAUGCGUGAUGGAAAUUUUCUGUUACAUUAAGAAGCUCAUAGAGGACAGAGCUGUUGGUGAGGAAGGUGUCGAGUUACUGCAGUACUGCAACUGGGAAAAUCCGCAUUUCGCACGUGCCCCACUCGUAUGGAAUAGUAGCUUAUGUCAAAAGGCUGGUUUUAGUAUAAUGCGGCAUUCGCAGCAUACCCUCACUGGCGCCGAGCCGUUGAAGAAAUUUUGGCAAAUAAACGUGCAAGAAAUAGUUCCGAUACUAGCACGUCCAUAUUCUUGUUAAGGGUCAUCAAAAAAUUCCUUGUGUUGUAAAUAAUAAAGGGAAUGCCGGAUUAUACUAAAGCCAGCUUCCCGACAUAAACUACUAUUCCAUACGAACAC